UACGUAGGGCGCAAGCGUUGUCCGGAAUUAUUGGGCGUAAAGAGCUCGUAGGCGGUUUGUCGCGUCUGCUGUGAAAACUCGAGGCUCAACCUCGAGACGUCGGCGGAAACCAUCUGGCUAGAGUCCGGAAGAGGAGAGUGGAAUUCCUGGUGUAGCGGUGAAAUGCGCAGAUAUCAGGAGGAACACCGGUGGCGAAGGCGGGUCUCUGGGCCGAUACUGACGCUGAGGAGCGAAAGCGUGGGGAGCGAACAGG
rnacentral:rRNA from 1 species